rnacentral:lncRNA from 1 species
AUGCCGGAAGGAAGCCGGCUUUGUUUUUUUCUUCGGACUGAAUGGUGUGCGCUCCUCAGCGGCUGGCGGCAGCGCCGACUCCUCGCCUCCCCGAGUCCUGCCGUUAGGUCGCGGCCUCUCAGAUUCCAGGCCAAAGCCAAGAACUCCGAGCUGAUUGGAACUGACUCUGCCAUGGGUGUAUAAAGCCAUUUCUUGCAGCCAGUGAGGGGGAGCCAGACUGAUCAGAAUCCAGCGCCCGCAGCUACCUUGCAGAGAGAUGAGUGAGAAGUGUUGAUUCGACUGAGGCGCAACAGAUGUUGAAGCAGCUCUGUAAGAGCAACAGCAACACAGAGAGUGGAGGGGAAUCAGGUCAUGCAGCUAACUCCGGGAAAUGUACAAGUAAAGGUCAAGUUGUGGUCGUGGUCAUAAUCACAAUCUUGGUUUUGAUCAUCAUUGUUUUAGCAGCAGCUUUGGGAGUGGUAAUAUCUAGGCCGUCUCCUCCAUGCCACCCUGCUGCCUCCUGGUGCCCGGACGGCUGGUUCAGGAACCGAGGGAAAUGUUACUAUUUUUCUAAGGCCGAAGGGAACUGGACCUACAGCCAGAGCGUCUGCUCUUCACACGCUGCCUCCCUGGCCGGGAUUGAUAAUCUACAUGCUCUGGUGAGAAGCAUAGAUGCNNNNNNNNNNCCAGCGAUCGCUG